rnacentral:rRNA from 1 species
GACGAACGCUGGCGGCGUGCUUAACACAUGCAAGUCGAACGGAAAGGCCCUGCAUUUGUGGGGUGCUCGAGUGGCGAACGGGUGAGUAACAAGAGAGUAAACUGCCCUUGACUUUGGGAUAACUUCAGGAAACUGGGGCUAAUACCGGAUAGGAGCUCCUGCUGCAUGGUGGGGGUUGGAAAGUUUCGGCGGUUGGGGAUGGACUCGCGGCUUAUCAGCUUGUUGGUGGGGUAGUGGCUUACCAAGGCUUUGACGGGUAGCCGGCCUGAGAGGGUGACCGGCCACAUUGGGCCUGAGAUACGGCCCAGACUCCUACGGGAGGCAGCAGUGGGGAAUAUUGCACAAUGGGCGGAAGCCUGAUGCAGCAACGCCGCGUGUGGGAUGUCGGCCUUCGGUUUGUAUACCGCUUUCGCCUGUGACGAAGCGUGAGUGACGGUAAUGGGUAAAGAAGCACCGGCUAACUACGUG